rnacentral:lncRNA from 1 species
CGCCGAGUGCGCAGGCGCCGGCCGUGAAGACCGACCGUGCGCCGGGCUCGAGCGCGGUCUGAGCGCGCGGCGCCUGCGGCGGCGAACGGACGGACGGACCGCGGACGGACGUACUGACCCCAACCCGCGAGCCCCGGGAGCCGUCGGUCUGAGGAGGGGCCGCUUCGCCAUGUCGCCCCGCACCUGCUGAGCCCGGAGCGUCCGAGGAUGUCCGCGCUGAGGAAGGCUUUCUCGCCAUCCGAGGCUUGGCCCUAGCCCUGCGCGGCUUCCCUCGCGGCUGCUAACCCUCUGCCUGCGCCCAGCCCAGCCACAAUGGGGACUGCUCAGGUUUUGCCUGGCAUUCUGCAGAAGCAUUGCUGUAUCUUACCAGACAGGAAUACAGGCAAUGCUGUGAAGCGUCAGAGGGAAUUCCGUUGGUUACUUUCCCAUACGGUCUUGUUCAGCUGCUUGUUCUCAGAAAAGUGUGUUUGUUGGUGGAGGAGAAUGCGACCAAGGAGACCAUCCUUUUCAUGAAGGCACAAACGUGAAUACAUAUGUGACUUUUAAGCCUUUAAAUAAAAACCCA